rnacentral:rRNA from 1 species
UACAGAGGUCUCAAGCGUUGUUCGGAUUCAUUGGGCGUAAAGGGUGCGUAGGCGGGUCUUUAAGUCAGGGGUGAAAUCCUGGAGCUCAACUCCAGAACUGCCUUUGAUACUGAAGAUCUUGAGUCCGGGAGAGGUGAGUGGAACUGCGAGUGUAGAGGUGAAAUUCGUAGAUAUUCGCAAGAACACCAGUGGCGAAGGCGGCUCACUGGCCCGGUACUGACGCUGAGGUGCGAAAGCGUGGGGAGCAAACAGG